rnacentral:rRNA from 1 species
AAUAGAUACCCAGGUAGUCCACGCCGUAAACGUUGGGCACUAGGUGUGGGGUCUAUUCAACGGACUCCGUGCCGUAGCUAACGCAUUAAGUGCCCCGCCUGGGGAGUACGGCCGCAAGGCUAAAACUCAAAGGAAUUGACGGGGGCCCGCACAAGCAGCGGAGCAUGUUGCUUAAUUCGAGGCAACGCGAAGAACCUUACCUGGGUUUGACAUGUAGAGAAAAGCCAUAGAGAUAUGGUGUCCUUCGGGGUUCUACACAGGUGGUGCAUGGUUGUCGUCAGCUCGUGUCGUGAGAUGUUGGGUUAAGUCCCGCAACGAGCGCAACCCUUGUCCUAUGUUGCCAGCACGUCAUGGUGGGGACUCGUAGGAGACUGCCGGGGUCAACUCGGAGGAAGGUGGGGACGACGUCAAAUCAUCAUGCCCCUUAUAUCCAGGGCUGCAAACAUGCUACAAUGGCCGGUACAAAGGGCUGCGAAACCGCGAGGUGGAGCGAAUCCCAUAAAGCCGGUCUCAGUUCGGAUUGGAGUCUGCAACUCGACU